rnacentral:rRNA from 1 species
GGGUAUACACGUCUGGGCACUACAAUUACAGAUUGAAACCCAACGAACAUGGCGGCAGUUUAAAUAUUUAGGGGAACUUACUAAGUAAAUGAUAACCACCAAGGAUAUGCACGCUAAAUCACAUUUUACAUACCGUCGUCGCCAGAUCUACUUCGAUAGAAUAUCAUAAUAUUUAAAAUAGAUAAAAGGACAGAUCAAGGUGUAGACAAUUUUAUCGUUUCAGCGAGUUACAAUAUUUUUUGUUUUCGUAACCUAGUUAUAUAACUGCUUAUAGGCGGACUUAAAAGUAAUAUUUAUGGGAAAUACAAUAUGAAUACUCUUAACCUGUGCACACAUCGCCC